AUUGAACGCUGGCGGAAUGCUUUACACAUGCAAGUCGAGCGGCAGCGCGGGGCAACCUGGCGGCGAGCGGCGAACGGGUGAGUAACACAUCGGAACGUACCCUGUCGUGGGGGAUAACGAAUCGAAAGAUUCGCUAAUACCGCAUACGACCUGAGGGUGAAAGCGGGGGAUCGCAAGACCUCGCGCGAGAGGAGCGGCCGAUGUCGGAUUAGCUAGUUGGUAGGGUAAAGGCCUACCAAGGCGACGAUCCGUAGCUGGUCUGAGAGGACGACCAGCCACACUGGGACUGAGACACGGCCCAGACUCCUACGGGAGGCAGCAGUGGGGAAUUUUGGACAAUGGGGGCAACCCUGAUCCAGCCAUUCCGCGUGAGUGAAGAAGGCCUUCGGGUUGUAAAGCUCUUUCGGCAGGAACGAAACGGCGGGCUCUAACAUAGCCUGUCAAUGACGGUACCUGAAGAAGAAGCACCGGCUAACUGCGUG
rnacentral:rRNA from 1 species